rnacentral:lncRNA from 1 species
GCGGGGCCUUUGUGUUGCACUUCACUGAGGGCCCCGGGGUCCACUGGGCGCCUGCUGGGCUUAAACUGCAGUGCCUGGGCCACUUUCCAUCCUGUGUUCCAAACCCCGCCUGCCGGCUGAUAAUGUAGGAGUUGUGCCUGCAAAACAUGCUUCGGACAUUAGAGUCGGCUGGGAAUGAAGAUGCCGGCUGGCCCCAGAGCACAGGCAGGGCUGAAGUGCGGGCGGCGAGUGGGCUGGGAAUGAAGAUGCCGACUGGCCCCAGAGUGGAGGCAGGGCUGAAGUGCGGGCGGAGAGUCGGCUGGGAAUGAAGAUGCCGGCUGGCCCCAGAGCACAGGCAGGGCUGAAGUGCGGGCGGCGAGUCGGCUGGGAAUGAAGAUGCCGGCUGGCCCCAGAGCACAGGCAGGGCUGAAGUGCGGGCAGCGAGUCGGCUGGGAAUGAAGAUGCCGGCUGGCCCCAGAGCACAGGCAGGGCUGAAGUGCGGGCGG